rnacentral:rRNA from 1 species
ACUGACGAGGAGGUUGCUGUCUCAGGGGAAGCCAAGGAAAUUUAUAUUCAGGUAAAAAAUCCUGAAAAUUGUAGAGGGACGAUAAGACCCUAAAAGCUUACCCCUUAACUCCUAAGAUUUUUCAACCUGAUUAGGACUGACGGGUUUUCACUGGGGCGGUGGUCCUACCUAACUAGAACAAAUUAAACACCUUGAGUGAAACUCUCCACCUUGAUUUGAAUCAAUAAGAUAAGUUACUUUAGGGAUAACAGCGUAAUUCUCUGAAAGAGCCCUUAUCGACCAGAGAGAUUACGACCUCGAUGUUGAAUUGAAAACUUGACUAAAGCAGCAUUUAGUAUUAAGGAGACUGUUCGUCUCUCAAACUUUC